CUAACUUGGGGGCGGCGGCGGGGGGGAGACGUGGGGUGGAAGCGGUGGCCGUAAUUUGUGGGCGUAAAUGUCUCGUAGGUGGUUGAUUAACGCAGAGGUGAAAUCUCAGGGCCCAACCCUGAGCCUGCAUUGGAUACUGCUCUGACUAGAGUCCGGUAUGGGAGUGCGGAACUCCUGGUGUAGCGGUGAAAUGCGCAGAUAUCAGGAAGAACACCGACAGCGAAGGCAGCACUCUGGGCCGGUACUGACACUGAGGAGCGAAAGCAUGGGUAGCAAACAGGAUUAGAUACCCGUGUAGUC
rnacentral:rRNA from 1 species